AGAAUGGGGAAUAUCGGGGAAUGAGGGAAUGUCUCGGGGAAUAUCUCUUUAUAAAGGGGUAAUAUGAUACUCCCCGAUAUAUUCCCCCAUUCCUCGAAUCUUCG